UCCAUUGAUGCUUCUUUUCCUCCUCUUUAUAGAAAUUAGUAUAGUUUUGGGAGCUGCAGUGACCCAGGACCAAUUGCCCUAAACGCUUGAGAUUGGACCAGCUAGACAUCAAUAUAAAUGUAUUUUAAGGUGAACAAUCCCAAAAUGGAACUGUUAAGUCCAUAUGCACCAGCAAUACUAAUGGGUAAUCAAUGAUUGUAGGCAACCUCCUGCAAUAACAGUUCCAAAACAGUGAUGUAGUAAUGGAAGUUGCUGUGAAACAUACCCCUGUAAUGCUCACUCAUACAGUACAUUCGUUUACAAAUGCACAUUUAUGAAUGAUCAAAUAAAUAACCAUACCUGGCCUGUAAA